rnacentral:rRNA from 1 species
GCCGGGGGAUGCAAACGUUAUCAGGAAUCACUGGGCGGAAAGCGUCUGUAGGUGGUGAUGCAAGUCACUGGUGCAAAACUCUGGCUCAACCGGAGGAAAGUCAGUGAAACUGCAUGACUAGAGUGUGGGAGAGGUAGAAGGAAUUCCCUGAGUAGCGGUGAAAUGCGUAGAUACAGGGAAGAACACCGGAGGCGAAAGCGUUCGACUGGAACACAACUGACACUGAGAGACGAAAGCUAGGGGAGAGAAUGGG